UACAGAGGGUGCGAGCGUUGUCCGGAAUCACUGGGCGUAAAGGGCGCGUAGGUGGCGCUGCAAGUCGGUGGUGAAAGCUCGCCGCUUAACGGCGAGUCGGCCAUCGAAACUGCAGGGCUCGAGCACUGUAGGGGCUAAUGGAAUUCCGGGUGUAGCGGUGGAAUGCGUAGAUAUCAGGAGGAAUACCGGUGGCGAAAGCGACUCUCUGGACGACAACUGACGCUGAGGCACGAAAGCGUGGGGAGCAAACAGG
rnacentral:rRNA from 1 species